AUAUAUAUAUAUAUAUAUAUAUAUAUAUAUAUAUAUUUUUUUAUUGCUGAGUACAGUUCUUUGGAAAGGGCAGCAAGGGUUUCAUCAAGUAAAAUCUACUUUUCCCUCUAGCAGUUACCAGCAAGCAUGCAAUCUGAUGGCUUGAGAUAAUGGUCAGGGUGUGAAUUGCUCAGCUUCUUCAAGCUGCUUCUGCCAGAGGAGGAGGAGGAAGAGGAGGAGGAGGAGGAGGAGGAGGAGGAGGAGGAGGAGGAGGAGGAGGAGGAGGAGGAGGAGGAGGAGCAGGAGGAGGAGGAGCUGGAGGAGGAAGAGGAGGAGGAGGAGAAAAAAGAGGAGGAGGAGUCUGUUUUGCUGGUGUAUCAGAUAUUUCAAGGUACUUGGUUUUACCUUUCCUGACUCUAGCAGGAAGAUUGUAUGCCAGAAAAGUAGAAACUGAACUGUUAGCUUAUAUGACUUAAAGCACCAUCAUGGAUUUUUUUUUUUCAGUUUAAAGGGCUCCCUAAUCCAACCCAAAUCUAGGGAGCACCAGGUAGGGUUGGGCUGCAUUCUUCUUACAAAUUCAAGAAGAAUAUUUGAUGACCUCACCUAGACUGAGUGGACAUGGGAUUAGAAGACAUAAAACAUCCUAGCCAUAUCCUGGAAGAUCUGGCUCAUCCUAGACAGAGAGGAUUCUUCCCUCAUGGUCACAAGAAGACCAGUCUUGUGUUCUACUAAAGAGUCAUCAGACCAUCCCCUUGCUAGAUGUUUCUUUGUCAGUUUGGAUUGAACCACUUGAGUUAAAUGAAGUGUUAACCCCUCAGAGAUGACUGGUUAAAAACCAUAUAUUGAAAAGUAAGACUUUUGCUCAUACCUGGUACAGGAUCUCAGUGGGGGUGAUUAGGAUGAGAAGCCUAAGACUGGCUAAUGGAAGGGAGGAGCUGUGCUAAUAAUAAACUACAUUUGCCUCUUAGUGAAGAACUAGCAAGGUACCAUGCAUAUUUCACUUGAUAUUUACUCACUUGAGAAAGGAAAACUUUCUUAUGAUUAUUACCAUUUUCAUCACUCUACCUCCCAUUUUAUAUUUGAGAAAAUAGAGCCUCUGAGAAUUUAAGAGAUUUGUAAGUACUUCUACAUAUGGCUGCAGAAUAAGACUUCUGUUCCCUGAUCCUGUGUUGUUUUUCUUUCCCCUGUAGGAUUUUGUAGAUAAACCAUGCUUUAAAAGGACUUCCUGCCUUACUGGACAGUAGAACAGAAUUGAAGAUGUGUUUGUGAAUUUAUUUAAUACCUCAGUAGGCCAUAGAUGGUAAGGGACACUAGCAUUAUUAUGCUGUGCAUAGGAACUAAAAUCAGGAUCAUUUGUAAAAUAGGCCGUAGUUCUUAAUUACCCUAAAAUUAAUUCUACUAAUGAUAAUUAAUAAAACAAUAAAGUUUGCAAUGCAUAAUGUAAAUCAGGUGACACAAUUUUUUUUACCACCAUAAUGCUGGUCUGGGCUAUGAGGCACAUAGAGUCUUCAAGGUAACACAUGGCCCUGCAGUAAAUAUUUACUAAAGUGCCGGUGUUUCUCAGUUCAAAUUUUUCUUUUAAAAUUGAGAAUGGUGAUAUCUAAGCUGUUUCUAACAUUGCUUUAAGAUGUAUUUUAAUGAAGAGAUUAAAACAUACAGUUGAUGUAUUCUUCAACAUUGUCAAACUGUUCAAAAACGACUGUACUGUAAUUUGAGAUAUAAAUUCUUUGACACUGCUUACAGGAACACUUCCUGUUAAAUGUAACACAGCUGGAAAAUUCUAAUGGAGCCAUGUCUGUGCAAUUACUGAUUGUGUAAUGCUGUAAAUUUUUGAUAAGCAUGUUCCAAGUUUUCCUGUCCUAAAAACAAAAACAUUAAAAUCACUGUCUAUGAAAGGAAGGCAAAAAACGACUGCAACUUUACUAGGAGAGGACAAUUUAUUAGAUAGGUUUAGAACUAGCUUAAAAAAAUCAAAAGACAAGUCAAAAAUCAGAAGAUUAAACUUUUAACAGGUUUAUGUCUAAAUAAUUCAUAUAAGGCCAUUUCUAACAGUAAAGAAUUUUUAUUAUAAACGUGGCCAUUAUCAUAGAAAUGUAAGUGAUUUGAGUGAGUGAAAUAAACCAAUUUUAUGCUAUCCAAAUACAAUGAAAUAAGCAGGAUGCCCUUUGACCCCUAAAUGACUUCUCUUUUAUUAUAUUGCCUGAGUAAAUCAGGUAAAUACAAAAGAACUGUUUGUUAACUUACUUCAGUAACCUGACAGUUAGGCUCAUGUCAGUUUGUUCUCCCCUUUGACCUGUGACUUGGCAUCGGAUUCUGCCCUCUGCUCCGUAAAGGUCAUUCCGACCCAAAUGGAAAAUGAAGAGAAAAACAUGAGGACCCAAACUUUGGCACACGGGGCAGGCUCUCAUGUACAUUGAUUUAAACAAAUAAAUCCUUGAAUGUACUUGGUGGCUUAUUUUCUAAGAGAGUGACAAUGCUUCUACUUGCUAGUACAUGAAGUGUACGAAGUGCAGAGGGUUAUACACUUCACAUGGUACAGAUUCUGAUGUCUUGGACUAACUCAACUUUGCUACAAUGACUGAGUUCAAGUUCACCUAUGCAUUUCUUCCCUCAUACUUGGGCCUUUGUUCACAGUAAUAAGUAGUUCGAAGAGUGCUGUUAUCAUCUCCUUUUUAUCCUAAAAGAUGCGUGGACACAGCUUUAGUAGUGUUUAACUCUGCCCAGAGAGCUUGAGUCUUCAACCCCUAAAGAGAAAAAUAUAUGUGACCAGGCACCAGUGGUAGAAGGCAGAGAUCUGAGGAUCACGGUUCAGGUU